rnacentral:rRNA from 1 species
GUAGGUGGCAAGCGUUGUCCGGAAUUAUUGGGCGUAAAGCGCGCGCAGGCGGUUCUUUAAGUCUGAUGUGAAAGCCCACGGCUCAACCGUGGAGGGUCAUUGGAAACUGGAGAACUUGAGUACAGAAGAGGAAAGCGGAAUACCACGUGUAGCGGUGAAAUGCGUAGAGAUGUGGAGGAACACCAGUGGCGAAGGCGGCUUUCUGGUCUGUAACUGACGCUGAGGCGCGAAAGCGUGGGGAGCAAACAGGGAUUAGAUACCCUGGUAGUCCACGCCGUAAACGAUGAGUGCUAAGUGUUAGGGGGUUUCCGCCCCCUUAGUGCUGCAGCUAACGCAUUAAGCACUCCGCCUGGGGAGUACGGCCGCAAGGCUG